rnacentral:lncRNA from 1 species
AACUCAAAUAAUAUUAAAUCUUUCAAAUGGCAAGUACAAGUACCCCCUAAUAGUAGUACCUUUUACAUAGAAAAGGAAAUAGUAAUAACAAUUUAUAAAAAAAUCAUGAACAAGCCAUCAACCACGUCGUCACUCUCAUCAUUUCUUUUUCCAAAUAUAAAUACAAGUCCAUACUUUUACAACUUCCCAGGAAGCAACAAGGAGAAGAAAGAAAACUUUGGUGUUGGUCUCUGGAGCGUUUAUUUUCUGUAUGAAGUUAAGAGAAGAAGAAAUGGAGCAGAAAAAGGGAAACAAGAAAGAAGAUGGGGUUUUAGUCCAUAGCCAAGUAAGAAAGAUAAAGCAAGAAACGGAGAAAAUGAAGGAUCAUCCAUCUCUACAACUGCAACAGGCGGAGAAGAAGACGGCAUUUUGCGAGAUCACUGGAAAACAACAGCACCAUAGAUCACCUUUGGGCUUAGCUCUUAGAAACUGAUAACUACUACAGCUUCAUGUUUUUGGGGGUUUUUUCCUUCUUCUUCUUCUUCUUCUUCUUCUUCUUCUUCUUUAGCAUUGCUAGUCUUUCUAGGUUCAAUCCCACUCUACUGUCCCCUGUACAAUUGCAAAAAUAAAAUCCUACUUGUUUCCUUUAGUUUUACUUUUAUUUUCUUGUAAGAAAAUUCUUAUGCAUAUUUUCUUUUCGAAUUAUAUUGGCUAACUUCUCUUUUCAUAUUCAACUCUCCAAAUUCUGGAAAUCAGGGGUACGUAAUUCCAAAUUUGGAGGGGAGUUUCAUUUCUGCUGAAUGGGUUUUCUUUUUCCACUGGUAUUAUCCAACUUUUCAUUUUUUAUUUUCUGGUUGUUGGGGGAUAAGGAGCAGGUUUAGAGCAGCAGCUUGUGCAUACACAACAGAGAAUGCUUAGCUGCAAAUACGUUCAUGGGAAACCAAGCAGUUUAUCUUUAGCAAAGUGAUACUACAUAUUGAGCCGAGGGUCGAUUGGAAACAGCCUCUCUGUCUCUCUGUCCUUUCAGGUAGGGGUAAGACCCGUCUACAUAUUACCCUCCCCAGAUCCCACUUUGUGGGACUAUACUGGGUAGUAGUUGUUGUUGUAUACUACAUAUCACUUGAAAAUGCACAAGUUAUAAAGGAAAAAUAGCAAAAUCGAAGAUCUUAUUCAUGAUCUAAUUCUAAUCUCUGCCUGGUCAUUAAAGAAAAAAAAAAAGAAACCAUAAUUAAUCACUACAAUUUCCAAAAUUGAAGGUAAAACUGAAUAUGGCAUCCCCAAAAUGCAAGAAGAAGCAGGCAGAAGAGGUUUAAAUCUAUGUGAGAUGAUAUCAAGUAACUGAACUCCUCAGCAAGUCGUUGCCCUUAGUUCUUUCA